UAAUCAGACCGCUGCUACCUUUAUUUCUAUCAGGCACUAAUCUCACCCUAAAAGAUAGAACCCCCUCUGUCACUCUCCCUAUCCCUCCCACCGAUCUGGCGCAUCCAGCGAAUCCGUCAUCUCUCUUCUCUUAAUCUCUUCUCCUAAGGCCCUCGAUUGGAAACUGAGUGAUGUAGCUUUCGAACGGGAAGCUUCUGGUCUCCAAUCACCAACCUUCGUCACGCGAAUCUAGAGUUUCAUCGUUGGUUUGCUUUGCUCUGUUAACUCCUAACUCCAAAUAAGCAAGGGAACAGGAAUUAGAGCUUCUAAGGAAAGAUAUCUGAGAAAAGAUAUUCCUGGAGAUGAAGAUGAGUUUAAAAAAUUAGUUAAAAAGAUCCCCCAAAUAGCAGUUCUGUUUGGAUAAAUAUACAUGACAUUUCUGGUGUUUUUAGCUGAUGUUAAGUAGGCAGACUCAAUGCAGAUUACACCGAGUGCUCAUUCAAAAAUGUUGCAAGAAAUGACUAUGAUUCUUUUUGGAAUUUUAGUUUAUCUGAUGAUGUAAUAUUGAAGUACCUAUACUUGUUUUUUAAUAAUAUAUAUUUUAUUUAAUUGAUGA